rnacentral:rRNA from 1 species
AAGAGUUUGAUCAUGGCUCAGAUUGAACGCUGGCGGCAGGCCUAACACAUGCAAGUCGAACGGUAACAGGAAGCAGCUUGCUGCUUCGCUGACGAGUGGCGGACGGGUGAGUAAUGUCUGGGAAACUGCCUGAUGGAGGGGGAUAACUACUGGAAACGGUGGCUAAUACCGCAUAACGUCGCAAGACCAAAGAGGGGGACCUUCGGGCCUCUUGCCAUCAGAUGUGCCCAGAUGGGAUUAGCUUGUUGGUGAGGUAACGGCUCACCAAGGCGACGAUCCCUAGCUGGUCUGAGAGGAUGACCAGCCACACUGGAACUGAGACACGGUCCAGACUCCUACGGGAGGCAGCAGUGGGGAAUAUUGCACAAUGGGCGCAAGCCUGAUGCAGCCAUGCCGCGUGUAUGAAGAAGGCCUUCGGGUUGUAAAGUACUUUCAGCGGGGAGGAAGGUGUUGUGGUUAAUAACCGCAGCAAUUGACGUUACCCGCAGAAGAAGCACCGGCUAACUCCGUGCCAGCAGCCGCGGUAAUACGGAGGGUGCAAGCGUUAAUCGGAAUUACUGGGCGUAAAGCGCACGCAGGCGGUCUGUCAAGUCGGAUGUGAAAUCCCCGGGCUCAACCUGGGAACUGCAUUCGAAACUGGCAGGCUUGAGUCUUGUAGAGGGGGGUAGAAUUCCAGGUGUAGCGGUGAAAUGCGUAGAGAUCUGGAGGAAUACCGGUGGCGAAGGCGGCCCCCUGGACAAAGACUGACGCUCAGGUGCGAAAGCGUGGGGAGCAAACAGGAUUAGAUACCCUGGUAGUCCACGCCGUAAACGAUGUCUACUUGGAGGUUGUGCCCUUGAGGCGUGGCUUCCGGAGCUAACGCGUUAAGUAGACCGCCUGGGGAGUACGGCCGCAAGGUUAAAACUCAAAUGAAUUGACGGGGGCCCGCACAAGCGGUGGAGCAUGUGGUUUAAUUCGAUGCAACGCGAAGAACCUUACCUGGUCUUGACAUCCACGGAAGUUUUCAGAGAUGAGAAUGUGCCUUCGGGAACCGUGAGACAGGUG